UACGAACUGUGCAAACGUUAUUCGGAAUCACUGGGCUUAAAGGGUGCGUAGGCGGCUUGUUAAGUAGGGUGUGAAAUCCCCCGGCUCAACCGGGGAAUUGCGCUCUAAACUGGCGAGCUGGAGUGAGAUAGGGGUGUGUGGAACUUCCGGUGGAGCGGUGAAAUGCGUAGAUAUCGGGAGGAACACCUGUGGCGAAAGCGGCGCACUGGACCACAACUGACGCUGAGGCGCGAAAGCUAGGGGAGCAAACAGG
rnacentral:rRNA from 1 species